rnacentral:rRNA from 1 species
UACGUAGGGUGCGAGCGUUAAUCGGAAUUACUGGGCGUAAAGCGUGCGCAGGCGGUCUGUUAAGACCGAUGUGAAAUCCCCGGGCUUAACCUGGGAACUGCAUUGGUGACUGGCAGGCUUUGAGUGUGGCAGAGGGAGGUAGAAUUCCACGUGUAGCAGUGAAAUGCGUAGAGAUGUGGAGGAAUACCGAUGGCGAAGGCAGGCCUCCUGGGCCAGCACUGACGCUCAUGCACGAAAGCGUGGGGAGCAAACAGG